rnacentral:rRNA from 1 species
AGUGAACGCUGGCGGUAGGCCUAACACAUGCAAGUCGAACGGCAGCACAGUAAGAGCUUGCUCUUACGGGUGGCGAGUGGCGGACGGGUGAGGAAUACAUCGGAAUCUACUUUUUCGUGGGGGAUAACGUAGGGAAACUUACGCUAAUACCGCAUACGACCUACGGGUGAAAGCAGGGGAUCUUCGGACCUUGCGCGAUUGAAUGAGCCGAUGUCGGAUUAGCUAGUUGGCGGGGUAAAGGCCCACCAAGGCGACGAUCCGUAGCUGGUCUGAGAGGAUGGUCAGCCACACUGGAACUGAGACACGGUCCAGACUCCUACGGGAGGCAGCAGUGGGGAAUAUUGGACAAUGGGCGCAAGCCUGAUCCAGCUAUACCGCGUGGGUGAAGAAGGCCUUCGGGUUGUAAAGCCCUUUUGUUGGGAAAGAAAAGCAGCAGGUUAAUACCCCGCUGUUCUGACGGUACCCAAAGAAUAAGCACCGGCUAACUUCGUG